rnacentral:rRNA from 1 species
UACGUAGGGUGCAAGCGUUAAUCGGAAUUACUGGGCGUAGAGCGUGCGCAGGCGGUGAUGUAAGACAGAUGUGAAAUCCCCGGGCUCAACCUGGGAACUGCAUUUGUGACUGCAUCGCUGGAGUGCGGCAGAGGGGGAUGGAAUUCCGCGUGUAGCAGUGAAAUGCGUAGAUAUGCGGAGGAACACCGAUGGCGAAGGCAAUCCCCUGGGCCUGCACUGACGCCCAUGCACGAAAGCGUGGGGAGCAAACAGG